rnacentral:rRNA from 1 species
CCUACGGGAGGCAGCAGUGGGGAAUAUUGCACAAUGGGCGAAAGCCUGAUGCAGCAACGCCGCGUGAGGGAUGACGGCCUUCGGGUUGUAAACCUCUUUUAGUAAGGAAGAAGAACUUCGGUUUGACGGUACUUGCAGAAAAAGCACCGGCUAACUACGUGCCAGCAGCCGCGGUAAUACGUAGGGUGCAAGCGUUGUCCGGAAUUAUUGGGCGUAAAGAGCUCGUAGGCGGUUUGUCGCGUCUGCUGUGAAAUCCGGAGGCUCAACCUCCGGCCUGCAGUGGGUACGGGCAGACUAGAGUGCGGUAGGGGAGAUUGGAAUUCCUGGUGUAGCGGUGGAAUGCGCAGAUAUCAGGAGGAACACCGAUGGCGAAGGCAGAUCUCUGGGCCGUAACUGACGCUGAGGAGCGAAAGCAUGGGGAGCGAACAGGAUUAGAUACCCUGGUAGUCCAUGCCGUAAACGUUGGGAACUAGAUGUAGGGGCCAUUCCACGGUUUCUGUGUCGCGNGCUACGACAUAACGUUACCCGUCCGUCGGGAGGUACGGCCGGCCGACGGACGUAAACGUUAAACGGUAAGUUAGUUAGACGUGUUAGAGUAGCGACGACGACGACGAGGAGGAGGAG